rnacentral:lncRNA from 1 species
CACACCUUUAGCUCAUUUAAAUAAAAAGCUAUCCAAUGUUUUAUGUCCAUUAUGUCCCCCGUUAACAUUGAGCAAAAUGUUAACCCCUACUAUAUAUGCAAGGGAAAUAAAUUAAGUUGUUAUAUAGAAACCCUUGACACUAUAUGCAAUUUCUUAUGUCCCAUAUUCUGAUAAUAUCUGUCCUCUUGGCUCUUACUUCUUGGAAUUUCUCAUAAACACGGAAGCUUCAUGACAAAUUGUGUAAAUCAUCAUUUCCUCCUUUAUGAAGUAUAUUGAAGACAAAAGGGAUUAAAGUCAUUUCACAUUUAGCAAAGCUAUUUUAUGGCAACAUUGUUACAACACAAAAUAGACAUUGCAGUUUACAAUUAACAAUUACACAGUGAUUUCAUAACAAUACUACUUACUCCAAUUAACAAAAUAUUUCUUUAUAAAAAAUAUGUUCAAAAGGAGGUUUACAUUCACUUCUUCGUUUAAUAUCAAGGUUGUUAACAAUGGUCUUAGGAGAUGCAAAGACGAAAAACUACUUACCUUAAAAAUCUGUAUUCUUGAAGAUAUAUACUCCACUUGAAUAAGAUACUGCUCAAGGUUUAGGCUUCCUGGAGAACUCAGAGGAUUUUGUAGUUGUACUUAAUAUACUCAAUAGCCAAAUUUCCUAAACUUUCAUAAUUUUGCUAACCAAGGGCCCUUAACAAAGUUAAAAGACACCACAGGGUUCAAAAGUGAACAAAUAUGUUGUUUUUGUUUUAAGACGGAGUCUCAUUCUUGUCACCUAGGCUGGAGUGCAGUGGCGCAAUCUCUGCUCACUGCAACCUCCAUCUCCCGGGUUUAAGUGAUUCUCACACCUCAGCCUUCCGAGUAGCUGGGAUUACAGGCGCGCGCCACCAAGCCCAGCUAAUUUUUACAUUUUUAGUAGAAAUGGGGUUUCACCAUGUUGGCCACGCUGGUCUCAAACUCCUGACCUCAAGAGAUCCGCCCGCCUCGGCCUCCCAAAGUGCUGGGAUUACAGGCAUGCGCCACUGUGCCUGGUCACAAAUAUGUUAAUGAGCCAAUUAAGAUGGUGCUGCUCAAAUGAUUCUAAUUCAGGAAACUUAGGUUGCAGCUAGGUAAUCUCUAGUUCUCUAAAGAAUAAUACCCAAAUGACAGGAUUUAUGUGUUGAUGCAAUAAUAGCUCAGUCUGUUUCAUGACCUAGCUAGAGUCAGAAUUGGAGCGGUGGCUAUAGCACAGGGGUGGCUUUCUCCUCUCUGAAGGAAAAGUAAAGAAGUAAGAAGAAAGAGGUUGAAAGAACAGCCUACACAGUUGUUGCCCAGAUCUCAAAAUUAGCAACAAGUAUGUCAGCUGUCCUAAUUAUUACCAAACAGGUCCUGGGAGUGUCUGACACACAACAUAAUAUAGGUGCAAUCAGUUCCAGAAUCUGGUUCCUGGAUCUGAACUAAUUUAGCUAUAAGACCUUCAGCAAGACCAUCUCUAUGGCCUGCAUCUCUCUCCUAUAGGUUUGACAAAGAUUCACCUAUGAGUUUGAUGAAGACAGGCUAGCUUUUCAAAAAAACACGCAGUAAAGAGAGAUUCCUACCAGGAAAACUUUGAUGGGUGUUUUUCAAGUGUCAUCUCACAGCAGAAGAUGCCCCAAGUGGUCAAACCUUGCCAACAGCUUCAAAAAAAGGUAACUAGGAUUUAACUUUACGGUGCAUUUUGAUGUUUCCCUUUGUGUCAUAUCUGAUGAUAAAAGAACCUUAAAAAAAAAAAAAAAAAACACUAUCCAGCUUCUCCAUUCUGUCUCCUGCUUUACUUUCUCUUGUUUACAAAAUACAAAUUUAUAGCUGGAUUUGAUGCUGAAAAUUUAAUACAGUUACCUCAUGUCACAGAUAAAGAACAGAAAUGACUUGACCAAGUUCAC